AUUGAACGCUGGCGGCAGGCCUAACACAUGCAAGUCGGACGGUAGCACAGAGGAGCUUGCUCCUUGGGUGACGAGUGGCGGACGGGUGAGUAAUGUCUGGGGAUCUGCCCGAUAGAGGGGGAUAACCACUGGAAACGGUGGCUAAUACCGCAUAACGUCGCAAGACCAAAGAGGGGGACCUUCGGGCCUCUCACUAUCGGAUGAACCCAGAUGGGAUUAGCUAGUAGGCGGGGUAAUGGCCCACCUAGGCGACGAUCCCUAGCUGGGCUGCGGGGAGGACCAGCAACACUGGAACUGAGACACGGUCCAGACUCCUACGGGAGGCAGCAGUGGGGAAUAUUGCACAAGGGGCGCAAGCCUGAUGCAGCCAUGCCGCGUGUAUGAAGAAGGCCUUCGGGUUGUAAAGUACUUUCAGCGGGGAGGAAGGCGGUGAGGUUAAUAACCUUGCCGAUUGACGUUACCCGCAGAAGAAGCACCGGCUAACUCCGUGCCAGCCGCCGCGGUAA
rnacentral:rRNA from 1 species